rnacentral:lncRNA from 1 species
GGUAUGUACCUCUAAACUUUUCAAGAUUUUUUAGUUACCAACAUUUUGACCAAUUUAGAUAAGAUGCCAAGAUGGUCAUUCAUAUGAUAGUUUACUAUAAACUAUCCAUAUAAACUAAACAGGGAUCGUAGGAUCAAAUCCACAAGCAAUUCCUUAUGCAUGGUCAUGUCAAGCUUUUCAAGCUCCUUAAUGUCCUUGAUCAUCAUCAAAUAAUGAUCAUAGACAAACUGCCUAUCACGCAUCUC